GGUCGUACCUGUUUUUGUUUGAGAUCAGGAGAGAGCUCAUAUUCUGGAGGAUGUGAGCAGGGUGGCGCGUCAUGCUGAGCGUCUUUUUUCUCAUCUUUCUGUUCUUCUCCUGCAGCAGGAAUCGAGCUACGGUUUCAAAUGACACAAGUGAGCAGUGGCUGACCCAGAUUCGCCGUCUUUUAAUCUAGACUGAUCAGAACCCAGUGCGCACUCAGGACUAAUUAACUCUGCUUAAUUACUACAUGCAGGCUUUCACAGAUUUCAGAUUCAGUGCAGCCUUCAUCGAAAAUGAGAUUGUGAAUGACGACAGGUUUCAACAUCGAGCAGAAACACGGCCAGUCAAUUUGUGCAAAUAAAAGAUCAAAUUGGCAUCAAUAAAACGUCAUUGGUGGUGCUUACUCAGGCUUACGGUUAGUGAUUUAGACAAACAUCUAACCCUGAGCAUUAAACUUCAGUUCACCACGGAACCGGCACCAUUGGAGCUACAGAUAUGACCUACUCACCACCCAAAACACCCUAGUAACCAUCACAACACCCUAGCAACUGCAACCGUGUAGAAAAAUGCCAAAAAAAAGAGCUCCACUUACAUUUUUUUCUACACUGUAAAUCAUGUCAUUUCUACUGAAAAAUACUGUAAAAAUGUUACAGUAAAAAUAUUUACUUAAUUGUUACAAUGUAUGAAAAAUGGUAGCUUAACAUGGCAUUGUGUGUAAUUUUUUAAACACUUUUUUGCAUGUAAUGUAAUGGAAAAAUAUGAUAAAAUUCAACAGUAAUUUUUUUUAUUAUAACUAUAUUCUGUGAAAAAUGUUCAAAAGUUUCACAUUCCAUUAUAUGUAAUUUCAUACUGUCUAAUACUGUAAAAUGUAUGUUUUUUUGUAAAUAAAAACAACAGUAGGGUAUUCCCAGAAGACUAGGAAUAUAGGACUAUAAUUAAUUUUGGUUCUUUUUAUUUUAUUUUUAUUUUUUAGUUCGUUGCAAUUUUUUAUUUUUUAUUUUUUGUCAAGUGGCUUUCUAUUGAACCACCUGUAUUAUUUAUAGGUAAAUGCAUAUUUUGGUAGUUUAAAUAGCUCGGUGUAUUAACCUUACAUCACUUAAAUAUAUGUUCUAAGUUUUAAAUUACACAGGCUUACUGUAAUAUAGGAAACACUGUUGGCAACCACAGCGGCCAGUUUAACAAAAUAUUUUUACAUUGUAUUGCAGGUAAUA